rnacentral:rRNA from 1 species
AGUGAACGCUGGCGGUAGGCCUAACACAUGCAAGUCGAACGGCAGCACAGUAAGAGCUUGCUCUUACGGGUGGCGAGUGGCGGACGAGUGAGGAAUACAUCGGAAUCUACUUUUUCGUGGGGGAUAACGUAGGGAAACUUACGCUAAUACCGCAUACGACCUACGGGUGAAAGCAGGGGAUCUUCGGACCUUGCGCGAUUGAAUGAGCCGAUGUCGGAUUAGCUAGUUGGCGGGGUAAAGGCCCACCAAGGCGACGAUCCGUAGCUGGUCUGAGAGGAUGAUCAGCCACACUGGAACUGAGACACGGUCCAGACUCCUACGGGAGGCAGCAGUGGGGAAUAUUGGACAAUGGGCGCAAGCCUGAUCCAGCCAUACCGCGUGGGUGAAGAAGGCCUUCGGGUUGUAAAGCCCUUUUGUUGGGAAAGGAAAGCAGCAGGUUAAUACCCCGCUGUUCUGACGGUACCCAAAGAAUAAGCACCGGCUAACUUCGUG